GCUCCGGUGGUCUAGUGGUCAGAGCGUCUGCCUCGGAUGCGAGAGGUCGUGGGUUCGAUAACCGGCCGAAUCA